rnacentral:rRNA from 1 species
UACGGAGGAUUCAAGCGUUAUCCGGAUUUAUUGGGUUUAAAGGGUGCGUAGGCGGUCAGGUAAGUUAGAGGUGAAAUCCCGUAGCUCAACUACGGAACUGCCUCUGAUACUGCCUAACUAGAGAUUAGAUGCUGUGGGCGGAAUGUGUGGUGUAGCGGUGAAAUGCUUAGAGAUCACACAGAACACCGAUUGCGAAGGCAGCUCACAAAACUAAAUCUGACGCUGAGGCACGAAAGCGUGGGGAGCAAAC